AAACAUAAUAUAUCGAAAGAGCCGUCAUUGUUCUCUCUGCACUGGACGUUGCUACCUCAUUGCUCAUUUGGUCUGUCUUAGGCUUAUAAGAAAAUGGUCUGCUUCCCUACGUCGAAAUGGUUUGUCGUGGCCAUGGUGGCAUUUGCGUCUUUCCAGACAGGGAACUGCCUGCAGUGUUAUGAAGGGAACCAGACGACAGUUACGAAUAUCACUUGUGAAGGUUCAUGCAGGAAUCUUACCAUAAGCGGAGGUGAAAUCGAAUCCGCGGAGUACAGCUGUUGCCCCGAACAGAGACCAACGAACUGCUCUUCUUCAGAGGAAGAUGAGGUCACAACCACCAUCUGCUUUUGCAAUGAGGACCUUUGUAACGGCUCAGGUGUGGCGACCAUUGUUCUCCCAUUCUUUCUGGGUUCACUUCUCUUCAAGAUGUUUCUCUAACCCCGUGUUGUAUAUCCAUAUGUAAACACGAAUUGAUUGUAAAUAUAUAUAUAUAUAUAUAUAUAUAUAUAUAUAUAUAUAUAAUAUAUACAUAUAUAUAUAUAUGUGUGUAAAUAUAUAUAUAUAAAUAUAUAUAUAUAUAUAUAUAUAUCUAUAUAGAUAUAUAUAUACAUAUAUAUAUAUAUAACAAAUUUACUCUCGGUUGAUAUCUUACAAGGUGAAAUUGUAAAAGAUGACGUGAAAAUAAAAAUGCAGGAGUUCCA